GGCUUCUUCUUUCUCUUCAAAUUGCAUAAAUCUUUUGCCUUUUACUAAAGAUUUCCAUGGAGAGGAACAGUUAUGAGUCUUAACCCGAUUAAAAAAAAAGAUUCUCUUGUAUCUU
rfam:Alligator mississippiensis ScZkoYb_34, whole genome shotgun sequence.